AUUGAACGCUGGCGGCAGGCCUAACACAUGCAAGUCGAGCGGAGCGGCGGACGGGAGCGUAAUGCCUAGGAAUCUUCCUGGUAGUGGGGGAUAACGUCCGGAAACGGGCGCUAAUACCGCAUACUAUCAGAUGAGCCUAGGUCGGAUUAGCUAGUUGGUGGGGUAAAGGCCUACCAAGGCGACGAUCCGUAACUUGUCUGACAGGAUGAGCAGUCACACGUGAACUGAGACACGGACCAGACUCCUACGGGAUGCAGCAGUGGAGGAUAUUGGACAAUGGGGGAAAGCCUGAUCCAACCAUGCCGCGUGUGUGAAGAAGGUCUUCGGAUUGGAAAGCACUUUAAGUUGGGAGGCGUUACCAACAGAAUAAGCACCGGCUAACUGCGUGCCAGCAGCCGCGGUAAUAC
rnacentral:rRNA from 1 species